ensembl:lncRNA
CCUGUUUGCAAAAGUUGUUUAUCUGCUAAAAAAAAAAAGGGUUGCCAUUUGAAAUUGCGAUUUUCUUAUAAUUGCUAUAUUUCAGCAAUGGCCUCACAAAGUGGAUCUCUUGUUUCAUAGACUGCUAUCUGUUCUCCAAAGUGCACACAAUGAAGAUACAGAUCAUCUUGGAACAAAAGAAGAUUUUCUGCUGUUCAGUUAUUGAGUGCAUGUGUUUGCAUCAGGAGGAUCACAGACACAUGGGAAAUGAUUGGAUAAUGAUAUAGAUAGGGGGAAAACGCCUCUAGAUCUCUCUCAUCUUCAUGGCAUUGUACAGGACAGAGAGAGGCUCCAAAGUGACUGGACUGAAAGGUGUCUCACCCCCUGUGAUCCAAAUUAUGGAGUGCGCUGAUGAAGGCAAGAGUCUAACAAAGCCGGCUGAGCUGCAGAAACACAGAUAUCUAGCUGUUAUCAAGCCGACUAUAAGAAAUAUCAAAAAGUGGAUACAUGCACACACAGUUUUAGAAGAAACACUUCUGUAUUUCUAUUUCACUUUUACUGGUUUUAUAACUGAUGUAGACUUUCAGAUACAGUACAAGACGAGCUGUAAAUACACAUUUCAACCCAACACCUUUACCUGCUGUGCAUCUAAACAUUUGUUGAAGUGAACAUUCACCCUCAAAUUAAAAUUCUGUCUUCAUUUUUCUGAAUGCACUUUUACUGUCUUUAUUUACAUGUCAUUCCAAAGCUGUAUGGCUUUCUUUCAUCCGUGGAACAUAAAAGGAUGUUUAAAUUAACUUUUUGUUAGUCAAUUUCCUUGUGCAUUUAUACCUGGGUUUUCAAUGUUCUUGGUCAGGUCUUCACUAUUGUUGGCGCUGAUGUUUAGUUUUCUUCUUUGUGUUCCAAUUUCUCUAUUUUCUUGUUACGUUCUUAGUUUCCAAGUUUCUGAGUCGCUUUGUAUUGUUUUGUAUUUUCUUUUGUUUUAUGAAUCACAAUCUGCACUUGGUUCGGUCUCUUCCUUACCUGUAAGUUAACCUUGUUCGAGCCCCAGUACUCAUUCACUUCAUUAUACUGAAAAAGUGUGGACAGGAGCUACAGUAACUCUAGUACAGGUGUUCCCAAAUACACCUGAUGAACACAUAAAGCCAGACACAAAAAGACAGGGCCCAUCAGUAUAUAACAGUGAUAAAAUAAAGUGCUCAUGGAUGACCUCUUAUUGCUUGCGGGUUAUUUUGCUUAGGGCUGCGAGUUGUGGGGUUGCAGAGCUCCCCCUGUUGAUCUGUUCUUAAAGUACACCAGUUUCAUGAAAUUUGCUGACAUAACUUUGCAAGUAAAACAUAUUUUAAGUAUGCAUGGCCAAUACAUUUAGGAAGAUAACAGUCUAUGACAGGCAGACAGUUAGACUUUGAUAUUAUCCAGAAUCCCCUCUUCAUGUAAGGGAGCGGGUGAACUUUCAUGUAAGUAGCCUUCAGCCAGAAGGAAAUCCGUUUAUAGAAACUUAUUCUGGAGUAAAUACAGAUGUCAGUCUAUUUUUCUUUAAGAUACCCUGAGGUCUCUUGCUCCUUUCUCCAUCUUUCUGUCUGUCUUCGCUCACUCUCUCUUAUUUUUUCUCUGUGAGCUAAUUAACCUGGUUGCUCUGUAGUAAUGAGUUCUCUCUGGUGGCAGACAAGCUCUGAAAGGGGAGGCGCAGGCUAGCGAUCCUCUCUGGCCAUAUCAUCAGGACAUUGUCAGGCCAAACAAUGGGCUUAUCUGCCUGCUUUUCGCCGCAAACCACCCCCCCACCCCCCCCCAACCCCCACCCCCCCAUCCACCCUCCCGAUUAAUAGUGAGGAACCAGGGAGAAAAGGGCACGUCCUUGCCCAGGCCCAAUAAAUGUCAGGGAAAAGGCCAGGGGAGCAGCCAUACCCUACAUUAGGAUCUAGAAUAAAGCACGCAGGUCAGGAUUAAGGUGGGCCAGGCGUAAGACAAAACAUGCCUUUAGACAUACUUUAGCAUCAAAGUAUAGAGGUUAGGAACAUGGCAAUUGUUUUUAUAGCAUAAGGUCAACUUCACAUUACAUUAAUGAAUUCAGCAGACACUUUUAUAUAAAGCAACACAUACUGUUAUCCACCUUAAUUAUAACAUAAGCGCAGGAUUGGACAUUUUUCAAUGGAAUGUGCAAGGCUUCUGGUGUCAUCCACUUCUAGUUAUUUUAGCUGUACAAAAACAGUCCAUUAUGCAGCCUGAUGUUGCAAAU